rnacentral:rRNA from 1 species
GGGAUACCCGCUGAACUUAAGCAUAUCAAUAAGCGGAGGAAAAGAAACCAACAGGGAUUGCUCUAGUAACGGCGAGUGAAGCAGCAAUAGCUCAAAUUUGAAAUCUGGCGUCUUCGACGUCCGAGUUGUAAUUUGUAGAGGAUGCUUCUGAGUGGCCACCGACCUAAGUUCCUUGGAACAGGACGUCAUAGAGGGUGAGAAUCCCGUAUGCGGUCGGAAAGGCGCUCUAUACGUAGCUCCUUCGACGAGUCGAGUUGUUUGGGAAUGCAGCUCUAAAUGGGAGGUAAAUUUCUUCUAAAGCUAAAUAUUGGCCAGAGACCGAUAGCGCACAAGUAGAGUGAUCGAAAGAUGAAAAGCACUUUGGAAAGAGAGUUAAAAAGCACGUGAAAUUGUUAAAAGGGAAGGGAUUGCAACCAGACUUGCUCGCGGUGUUCCGCCGGUCUUCUGACCGGUCUACUCGCCGCGUUGCAGGCCAGCAUCGUCUGGUGCCGCUGGAUAAGACUUGAGGAAUGUAGCUCCCUCGGGAGUGUUAUAGCCUCUUGUGAUGCAGCGAGCGCCGGGCGAGGUCCGCGCUUCGGCUAGGAUGCUGGCGUAAUGGUCGUAAUCCGCCCGUCUUGUAACACGGACCAAGG